rnacentral:rRNA from 1 species
AGCUUAUWGAAAAUUUAUAAUAAGUCUGUUCUGCCCAGUGGAUUUCUAAACGGCCGCGGUACCCUGACCGUGCAAAGGUAGCAUAAUCACUUGCCUUUUAAUUGAAGGCUAGAAUGAAAGAAUAAACGUUAAUCUUCCUUUUCCGUAUGUUGUCAUAAAAAUUAUUCUUCAGGUGAAGAAACCUGAAUUCUCUAAAAAGACAAGAAGACCCUAUCAAGCUUCAUAUUUUUUAAGCCCCUCUUAUUUAAAUAUUUGGUUGGGGCGACAAUGGAGACUCUUUAUCCUCCAUCAUAAUUAUGAGUUAUUUCUCUCUCCUCUUAAUACUAUAUUAAAAUAAAGCUACUGUAGGGAUAACAGGCUUAUAUUUCCUCAGAGUUCAAAUUAAAGGAAAUGAUUGGCACCUCGAUGUUGGCUUAGGGUCCUAUUUUCUGCAGAAGGAAAAUAACGGUAGUUUGUUCAACUAUUAAACCCCU